CUUGUACUCCCUCCGUCCGAAAAUACUUGUCAUUGAAAUGGAUGUAUCUAGAUGUAUUUUAGUUCUAGACACAUCNACAUCCAUUUUGAUGACAAGUAAUUCCGGACGGAGGGAGUACUUG
rnacentral:pre_miRNA from 1 species